rnacentral:rRNA from 1 species
ACGGAGGGUCCAAGCGUUAUCCGGAUUUAUUGGGUUUAAAGGGUCCGUAGGCGGUAUUGUAAGUCAGUGGUGAAAGCCUACAGCUUAACUGUAGAACUGCCAUUGAAACUAUAGUACUUGAAUUCGGUUGAAGUGGGCGGAAUAUGUCAUGUAGCGGUGAAAUGCAUAGAUAUGACAUAGAACUCCAAUUGCGAAGGCAGCUCACUAAGCCGAUAUUGACGCUGAGGGACGAAAGCGUGGGGAGCGAACAGG